UGAUAGCCGAUUACUUGCCGUCCAGGAGAUGUAACAAAGGUUUAUUGAACAGGAGAAGGCAAUUUCAUCUUGACGAAUAUGAAUAUAAAGACAGAAUAAUAUUAUGCAGUAAGAAUAUAUUGAAUGGAAAAGAGAAUGCCACUGAGGGAAGCGGAUCUCAGGGUAUAAUUAUUAACGUGACGCCCUAUGCCACUAACGAAAACACCAGGGCAUCCCUGCGUAAGUGGUUUCAGUGCUGGAGCCAGCUCUCUGAAGUUUAUUGACAUACGCGGUCUAUGUUCCAGUUGAAUGUAGAUAAAAAUAGAAUAUCAAUCUCCCUCCUAUGGCAUAUGCUGGGCAUCAACAUGGUUAGAACGUGGCAAUGCUUGUGGAGAGUUUUUCCCUUUUUACACCUUUAAGACCUGCAACAUUGUUAAUUACUAGUAUAUUUUUCUCAUACUGAGUACCGAGCUAAGUUGUGAAGGUGGCAGUCACUGACCAAAACUUGAGCAAAAAUA
rnacentral:sRNA from 2 species